rnacentral:rRNA from 1 species
ACUGACCGUGAUAAUGUAGCGUAAUGAAUAGCCAAUUAAUUGUUGGCCGGUAUGAAUGGCAUCACGAAGGCCCCACUGUCUUAAGAGGACUCUCCAUGAAAUUGAAUUCGUAGUGAAGAUGCUACGUCCAUAUUGUAAGACGAAAAGACCCCAUUGAGCUUUACUAAAGACUUGUAUGGCUCGAAAUAACUUAAAUAAAAAGUUUAGAUAAUGUGGGAUCCGUUUUUGGUUAAUGAAACACCACUCUUUUAUUUUAAGAGAGCUAACCUUGUAGGGAGAAUGCAAGUUGGAUAGUUUGGUUGGGGCGACCACCUUUUAAAAGGUAACGAAGGUGAGCUUAAGGUCCGUAGUUAAUAGCUAGUGGCCUGACUGCAAGGGGGACAUCCCGAGCAGACACUGGUAAUCUCUCAGUGGGUUAUAGUGACCCGUCAUYUUAGAGKRRAAUAGUUGACGAUCAACGAAUAAAAGCUACCAUGGGG